rnacentral:rRNA from 1 species
UACAGAGGGUGCGAGCGUUAAUCGGAAUUACUGGGCGUAAAGCGCGCGUAGGCGGCUUUUUCAAGUCGAUUGUGAAAUCCCCCGGGCUUAACCUGGGAACUGCAGUCGAGACUGUCUAGCUAGAGUGUGGUAGAGGUAGCUGGAAUUCCCGGUGUAGCGGUGAAAUGCGUAGAUAUCGGGAGGAAUACCUAUGGCGAAAGCAGGCUACUGGACCAUCACUGACUCUGAUCUGCGAAAGCUAGGGGAGCAAACAGG